GAUGAACGCUGGCGGCGUGCCUAAUACAUGCAAGUCGAGCGAACAGACGAGGAGCUUGCUCCUCUGACGUUAGCGGCGGACGGGUGAGUAACACGUGGAUAACCUACCUAUAAGACUGGGAUAACUUCGGGAAACCGGAGCUAAUGCCGGAUAAUAUAUUGAACCGCAUGGUUCAAUAGUGAAAGACGGUUUUGCUGUCACUUAUAGAUGGAUCCGCGCCGCAUUAGCUAGUUGGCAAGGUAACGGCUUACCAAGGCAACGAUGCGUAGCCGACCUGAGAGGGUGAUCGGCCACACUGGCACUGAGACACGGUCCAGACUCCUGCGGGAGGCAGCAGUAGGGAAUCUUCCGCAAAGGGCGAAAGCUUGACGGAGCAACGCCGCGUGAGUGAUGAAGGUCUUCGGAUCGUAAAACUCUGUUAUUAGGGAAGAACAAAUGUGUAAGUAACUAUGCACGUCUUGACGGUACCUAAUCAGAAAGCCACGGCUAACUACGUG
rnacentral:rRNA from 1 species